GAAUAUUGCGCAAUGGACGAAAGUCUGACGCAGCAACGCCGCGUGCGGGAAGAAGGGCUUCGGCUCGUAAACCGCUUUUCUGUGGGAAGAGCAAGGACGGUACCGCAGGAAUAAGUCUCGGCUAACUGCGUGCCAGCCGCCGCGGUAAAACGUAGGAGGCGAACGUUAUCCGGAUUUACUGGGCGUAAAGCGCGUGCAGGUGGUCUGUUAAGUCGUGCGUGAAAGCUCCCUGGCUCAACCGGGAGAGGUCGUGCGAUACUGACAGACUGGAGACAGAGAGAGGCAAGUAGAAUUCCGGGUGUAGUGGUGAAAUGCGUAGAUAUCCGGAGGAAUACCAGUGGCGAAGGCGGCUUGCUGGCUCUGUUCUGACACUCAGACGCGAAAGCAUGGGGAGCGAACGGG
rnacentral:rRNA from 1 species